rnacentral:rRNA from 1 species
AGGAUGAACGCUGGCGGCGUGCUUAACACAUGCAAGUCAAGGGGGCCCAGCAAUGGGCAACCGGUGAACGGGUGCGUAACACGUGAGCAACCUACCGAAAUGUGGGGGAUAGCCGGCCCAACGGCCGGGUAAUACCGCAUACGCUCGAGACCAGGCAUUUGGACUCGAGGAAAUUUACGGAGCAUUUCGAGGGGCUCGCGGCCUAUCAGCUAGUUGGUGAGGUAACGGCUCACCAAGGCUACGACGGGUAGCUGGUCUGAGAGGAUGGCCAGCCACAUUGGGACUGAGAUACGGCCCAGACUCCUACGGGAGGCAGCAGUGGGGAAUCUUGCGCAAUGGCCUAACGGCUGACGCAGCGACGCCGCGUGAGGAUGACGCUCUUCGGAGUGUAAACCUCUUUUGUCUGAGACGAACUGUCAGUCUUUAGCUGUAUUUGACGGUAUCGGGCGAAUAAGCACCGGCUAACGUCCGUGCCAGCACGCCGACGGUAAUCUA